GACGAACGCUGGCGGCGUGCUUAACACAUGCAAGUCGAACGGAAAGGCCCUGCUUUUGUGGGGUGCUCGAGUGGCGAACGGGUGAGUAACACGUGAGUAACCUGCCCUUGACUUUGGGAUAACUUCAGGAAACUGGGGCUAAUACCGGAUAGGAGCUCCUGCUGCAUGGUGGGGGUUGGAAAGUUUCGGCGGUUGGGGAUGGACUCGCGGCUUAUCAGCUUGUUGGUGGGGUAGUGGCUUACCAAGGCUUUGACGGGUAGCCGGCCUGAGAGGGUGACCGGCCACAUUGGGACUGAGAUACGGCCCAGACUCCUACGGGAGGCAGCAGUGGGGUAUAUUGCACUAUGGGCGGAAGCCUGAUGCAGCAACGCCGCGUGCGGGAUGACGGCCUUCGGGUUGUAAACCGCUUUCGCCUGUGACGAAGCGUGAGUGACGGUAAUGGGUAAAGAAGCACCGGCUAACUACGUG
rnacentral:rRNA from 1 species